rnacentral:rRNA from 1 species
UACGUAGGGGCCUAGCGUUGUCCGGAUUUAUUGGGCGUAAAGAGCUCGUAGGCGGUUCGGCAAGUUGGAUGUGAAAUCUCCACGCUCAACGUGGAGGGGCCAUUCGAAACUGCCGUGACUCGAGUCCGGUAGGGGAGUGUGGAAUUCCCGGUGUAGCGGUGAAAUGCGCAGAUAUCGGGAGGAACACCAGUAGCGAAGGCGGCUCACUGGACCGGUACUGACGCUGAUGCGCGAAAGCGUGGGGAGCAAACGGG